rnacentral:rRNA from 1 species
UACGUAGGGUGCGAGCGUUAAUCGGAAUUACUGGGCGUAAAGCGUGCGUAGGCGGUUUCGCAAGUCCGAUGUGAAAUCCCCGGGCUUAACCUGGGACUGCGUUGGAAACUAACGAAGCUAGAGUGCGGCAGAGGGGGGGUGGAAUUCCAGGUGUAGCAGGUGAAAUGCGUAGAGAUCUGGAGGAACACCGAUGGCGAAGGCAGCCCCCUGGGCUAGCACUGACGCUCAU